rnacentral:rRNA from 1 species
AGAGUUUGAUCCUGGCUCAGGAUGAACGCUGGCGGCGUGCUUAACGCAUGCAAGUCGAACGAAGCACGGGGACGGAAGCCCUCCGGGGUGGAAGGCCGCGUGACUGAGUGGCGGACGGGUGAGUAACGCGUGGGUAACCUGCCCCAUACAGGGGGAUAACAGCCGGAAACGGCUGCUAAUACCGCAUGCACAUGCGGGGGCGCAUGCCCCUGGAUGGAAAGCUUUCGCGGUAUGGGAUGGGCCCGCGUCUGAUUAGGCAGUUGGCGGGGUAACGGCCCACCAAACCGACGAUCAGUAGCCGGCCUGAGAGGGCAACCGGCCACACUGGGACUGAGACACGGCCCAGACUCCUGCGGGAGGCAGCAGUGGGGAAUAUUGGCACAAUGGGGGAAACCCUGAUGCAGCGACGCCGCGUGAAGGAAGAAGUAUCUCGGUAUGUAAACUUCUAUCAGCAGGGAAGAAAACAGACGGUACCUGACUAAGAAGCCCCGGCUAACUACGUG